GACGAACGCUGGCGGCGUGCCUAAUACAUGCAAGUAGAACGCUGAGGGAGGAGCUUGCUUCUCUGGAUGAGUUGCGAACGGGUGAGUAACGCGUAGGUAACCUGCCUGGUAGCGGGGGAUAACUAUUGGAAACGAUAGCUAAUACCGCAUAAUAGUAGAUGUCGCAUGACAUUUGCUUAAAAGGUGCAAUUGCAUCACUACCAGAUGGACCUGCGUUGUAUUAGCUAGUUGGUGAGGUAACGGCUCACCAAGGCAACGAUACAUAGCCGACCUGAGAGGGUGAUCGGCCACACUGGGACUGAGACACGGCCCAGACUCCUACGGGAGGCAGCAGGAGGGAAUCUUCGGCAAUGGACGGAAGUCUGACCGAGCAACGCCGCGGGAGUGAAGAAGGUUGUCGGAUCGUAAAGCUCUGUUGUAAGAGAAGAACGAGUGUGAGAGUGGAAAGUUCACACUGUGACGGUAUCUUACCAGAAAGGGACGGCUAACUACGUG
rnacentral:rRNA from 1 species